UUCUGUUGAUCCUUGUAGCUGCGAUCGUCUUAGCUUUCUAUUUCCUCCCCGUCGAGCAGCUUUUGAGGGAUUUUUUAUUAUGGGUUGAACAAGAUCUAGGGCCUUGGGGACCGCUUGCCCUGUAAGUGUUUCUCCUUUUUGCUUUUUUUUUUGAGCUAUGAAACUAAUUAUGUUCUUGAGUGAGUUGUAGCUGUGAGCUUAUUAAGCUUUUAUAUCUGUUUAACCAUGGGUUUGGAAACAUAAGAGUUAGGAGGCCUUUUUACCUAGUUACUGAACAUCUCUUUUUUUUUUUUUUUUCCGUCGAAAAGUUUUUAAUAUUAAAAACGGGCCAAACCCAAUACAAAUAACAAACAUCCAAAUUGCAAACUCGCUUCUCAAUUGGGCCACACAAUCCGGCCCAACUUGAUGAAAACCCUAGACCCUUCACGCGAUUGACUUCGCCGCCUCGCAGAUCAGCCUCUCUGCUGCUUGGACACGUGUUGCCAUCCUCGCCGUCGAGGAUACACGUGUUGCGAGGACACCCCGUCACCACCGCUUCGCGUUUCUGCCGGAGAUCCAAACAUCCGAUCUUCCGACCACCCCGGAACUCAAAAGCUCCAUCAAUCUUCUCCUCAACCAUCUUUGGGUCUCUAAAAACCGGAGGUAAUCAAUCGCCGCGGCGAGAUCUCCUCCAACACCGUUCACCACAGACCCCCAAGAAGAAACGUCACAUGCAUCGCCACUCUUUCCGCCGGAGAACUUCCCUCUCCUCCGACGACCGACAAACAACCGAAUCAUAAUAAAACCAAGAUAAAAAACAAAACCCUAAAAGAUAAGGGACCUACGGCCGGCGACGCAAGGCUGUGGAAGCCUUCACCCCCCGGAGACCAUAGCCGAUGACGGCGGAACUGAAGGAGCUUCCCCGCCACGGAGACAAAAGGCCGGCGACGACGGAUCUGUGGUAGCCUCCAUCUCCCGGAAAUAUUACUCGAUCUACUAAAGUCUUAACCCCACCAUCAUUCCGGCACCCGCGUCGUGACUCCAGGUCAAAACCACGCCGGAUGGUGGCUGACCAGCGCUCAGACAGUCGGAAACCAGAGGAGGCGAGGAAAAGACAAGAAACUUGUCAUUAUUUCGAAAGGAAAAAACGGGUUCCGGCGGCGGCACGGACGCUCACGCGCCGGCCGACCGCCGCACCCCUCUGAGUUUUUACUUUUCACUCUCUUUCUCUCUCCAACUCCUUUCCCGACUGAACAUCUCUUUCUUUUGUAAUAUGUGUAGAACAUAGAUUAAAAAAUUAUUCAAAAAUCUUCUUUUUUACUCUUCGUAUUUUUGAGAUGCAACUACUAUACAUGAACAAAACCAGCAAGUUCAUAAGUCACGGAGGGAAAGUAUACUCGAUUAACUCCAAAAUCUAUUGGGCCAUAAUUUAGGCCCAUUUAUUAAGUAAUCCUAAUCUAACAUUUGUAUACUGAAAUGAAUUAAUUAGCAGGUGAAAAAUUAGCAAAGUACCAAACUACUCCAAUGGCGGACAAAAAUAUCUUCCAUUGUCUAGUCUUUUCUUUUUGUGUGUGCGAGGUUUUUCUAGCAAAGACCAAAAAAGAAAGAAAGUAGGUGUAUGAAUUUUUGAGAGAUUGAUUGAUUAUAGGGUUGAUAAACAAUGGUGGUGAGAUAUCAAUUUUUCUGAGUUAAUUGGAUUUGCUUUGGAAAGUAAUUAAGACGAUAUAAUGAUUGUGCAUAUUAUGUAAAAGAAAUCUUAGAUAUAUAGUAAGAAACUCCACCAAAUUUACUAAGAUGAAAUUUGUGAAAAUAAUGUCUAGAAAGAAUCUUACAGAAAUAGAAAAAUUAACAAACCAAUGGAGGAUAAUAUGUUAACAAUUUUCACAAUAUAUAAUUUAGUUAUGGGUCCAGUCGACUGUUUCAGUUUCACUGAAUAUUAUUUUCUCCACUCACAUCUGUUUAGGUAAGCAAAACUAUUUACCGUUCCAUGAUCCUGGUCUUGCGUAAAAUGCCCAUCUAUCGUUCUGAUCUGCUAUCAUUGUCUUGCUGAUAAGCAAAGAAAAAAGGAAGGAAGAGACAAUCAUCUCCAUGUUCUUGUUACACUACGAUUGCAUCAGCUGCAGAGAAACUCAGGACAUUAAUCAAUCACUAAUGCUUGUAUCAGAUUUUCUCUUCUAUAUAAUUGAACUAGGGGUUGGCCCGCCCUACGGACGGGUGAUUUUACACUAAAAUAAUUUUAUAUCAAAAUAUAUUAUAAUGUUAUAAAAUAUUUUAAAUUUUAUUUUUUACUGGAUAUAAUAAAUGUAAUCUCUUUUAAUUCUAAAAUUAUAUUUUAAAUUAUAUUAUAUUUUGUUGGUUUUGAAUUAAAAAGACCACUAACAAUUCUUUUUUUUUGUCAGAUAACACAAAAUUAUUAAAUUAAAAAUUAAAGAAAAUAUAAUGAUUUAUAUUUUUUUAUAUUUGAUUUUCAUUUCAGUUUGAUGUAAUUGAAGAAAUCUAAAGUAAGAACAACUAAUUUUUUUUUAUUUCUAAGAGUAUCAGAUUUUAAUAUUAUUAUAAUAACUAACUUUUCACGAUAAUAAAUUAAUACUACCACCUCCAAGCUAAAUCAAUUUAAAAUCAAAUCUAAUGUGAUAAAAUUAUAAAAAUUUAUAUUUUAAAGUAAUAUAUGAAUAGUUUCGAUGAUGUCAUAAAUAAUUAGUAUAUAUUAUGUAACAACAAUUGAUGUUUUAUAAUAUAUGUGUGUUUCAGUUUAUAUUAGAUUUUCAAUUUAUAAUGAAAAUUUUCUUUAGUUUAUAAUGUUUGACUAAUUAUGUUUUUGUAGAUUAUUUUAGCAUUGGCUGAACUUUUUAUAAAAAAAAACUUGUUGGAAAUUUCUCUCAUGCUGAUUGAAAAUAUUUUUAUAGAUUAAUGGUGUUAUAAAUUAAUAAAAUAUUAUAUUUCUAGCAGAACUUUACUUGAGUUUCAUACCCUAUGAUAUCAAAUAAAACAUAAUUAUUAAUAAUCUAGAAAUUAAGCUGAACCAAACUCGAUACAAAUGUCUUUUGGAAAUUGUUUUUUUUUCUUUGAACGAUAAACUAAAGAAAGUAACUAACUUUUUAAUCUUUUCCGUGUUGGCUGUAUUGAAUGCAAGUAUAUAAUUCCUAUCUAAUCAAACAUAGAAAAUCAUAUAUAAUUGCAUAACAAAAUAGAGCAAAACAACAUAUUAGCUUUAUAUUCCAGCGCAAAACAAUCAAAGAAUAUGUCAUUAAGCAAACAAUUAUGCACAUCAAAACUGCAGAGUUUCUAUAUCGAAACUUACAAUGAUUUUUCAAUUAUUUCUGGAGAUCCAUCAUUCUGUUUCUUACUAAUUUUGCUGCUCCAUAAGCUUUGAGACUUGUUAUCAAUUCUAUGUUACGGGUAUAACUCACGUAAAUUAGGAAGUGUCCUCCUGUGAGAACAUAAAUAAUGGAGAAGUACGUUAGCGACUGAUGGGAGGAGACCUCUACGAUUUGCUACUAAUAUUGAACCUUACGUAGAUGGCGUUACCAGUUACCACACCCUAUAUCUCCAUGUAUGAAUCCAGACGCCAAUUGAAGAAAGAGUAAAUAAUUAAGCAUAAAAGUCCUAAGAUAGUGGGAUUCUUGAAGCGUUUAUUUAUUAAAUGUGACUGUGAGAACUCUUUUAUUAAUGACUUCAACAUUCUAUUGAUACAGGUGAGUAGCACAUUUAAAUUAAUGACUCUGAGUGGACUACCUUACAAUAGUUUACUAUUGAAUGGGAUUACCUUACAAUAGUUGUUUUUAAAGGUGCUGAUUACUUUUUUUUCCAAUCACGUAGAACAUUUAGGGUAGGUGAAUCUUAAACUAAUCUCCCAAAUUAUAAUUUGGACCUUACCAAGUGUCUCCUAGAGUUUUUUUUUGUUGUCAAAAUGUGAAUUUCAUAUUAAAUAUGAGAAAUAUUAAGAAGUAACAUAAUGAAAAGGGAGACACACAUAAGUUACAAAAAAAAGGGAGGCACGCGAUCUUAAACUUUAUGGUGGACCAAAUAUCUAAACCCUUAUUUGUAAAACUUGAACUAAGAGAACUAAGUUAUGCGUGGCAGCAAACGAAAAUAAGUCUGCAUGCCAAUGAGUUACGUGGGAUUAUUUCUGGACUAUGAGGAAACUUGUGAAGGUGCUAAAGCAUACUGCGUCCACCAUUACAGUCUCGAGCUUCUUUACACCAGUGUAAAGCAUCCCACUUGCGGAGACAAUGCUGGCUGGUGCACACAAAGACACAACAUGGUAUGUGAGAUUAAUGCAAACAAUUAGAGAGACAUGUGGACAUGUAGACUCUCGAGAUACUUCGUCGCUCAUCCUCUUUUGCUUCAUAAAGAUGGUAGGUUGAAGGAUCGUAUCAAUUCCAUCUGUCCCUCUUGCCAUCAUAGUCGAGUUCACGGUCUAUCCAUACACGCCUUAGCAUUGUGCGUCUUACAUCACAAUUUAAAAAAACGGGAAAA